rnacentral:Y_RNA from 1 species
AGCCUGGACCAUGGCAGUGGGUUAUCAGAACUUAUUAACAUUACUGUCACUAAAGUUGGUGUACAACCCCCCACUGCUAAUUAGACUGGCUUUAA